rnacentral:rRNA from 1 species
GAGUUUGAUCAUGGCUCAGAUUGAACGCUGGCGGCAGGCCUAACACAUGCAAGUCGAACGGUAACAGGAAACAGCUUGCUGUUUCGCUGACGAGUGGCGGACGGGUGAGUAAUGUCUGGGAAACUGCCUGAUGGAGGGGGAUAACUACUGGAAACGGUAGCUAAUACCGCAUAACGUCGCAAGACCAAAGAGGGGGACCUUCGGGCCUCUUGCCAUCAGAUGUGCCCAGAUGGGAUUAGCUAGUAGGUGGGGUAACGGCUCACCUAGGCGACGAUCCCUAGCUGGUCUGAGAGGAUGACCAGCCACACUGGAACUGAGACACGGUCCAGACUCCUACGGGAGGCAGCAGUGGGGAAUAUUGCACAAUGGGCGCAAGCCUGAUGCAGCCAUGCCGCGUGUAUGAAGAAGGCCUUCGGGUUGUAAAGUACUUUCAGCGGGGAGGAAGGGAGUAAAGUUAAUACCUUUGCUCAUUGACGUUACCCGCAGAAGAAGCACCGGCUAACUCCGUGCCAGCAGCCGCGGUAAUACGGAGGGUGCAAGCGUUAAUCGGAAUUACUGGGCGUAAAGCGCACGCAGGCGGUUUGUUAAGUCAGAUGUGAAAUCCCCGGGCUCAACCUGGGAACUGCAUCUGAUACUGGCAAGCUUGAGUCUCGUAGAGGGGGGUAGAAUUCCAGGUGUAGCGGUGAAAUGCGUAGAGAUCUGGAGGAAUACCGGUGGCGAAGGCGGCCCCCUGGACGAAGACUGACGCUCAGGUGCGAAAGCGUGGGGAGCAAACAGGAUUAGAUACCCUGGUAGUCCACGCCGUAAACGAUGUCGACUUGGAGGUUGUGCCCUUGAGGCGUGGCUUCCGGAGCUAACGCGUUAAGUCGACCGCCUGGGGAGUACGGCCGCAAGGUUAAAACUCAAAUGAAUUGACGGGGGCCCGCACAAGCGGUGGAGCAUGUGGUUUAAUUCGAUGCAACGCGAAGAACCUUACCUGGUCUUGACAUCCACGGAAGUUUUCAGAGAUGAGAAUGUGCCUUCGGGAACCGUGAGACAGGUGCUGCAUGGCUGUCGUCAGCUCGUGUUGUGAAAUGUUGGGUUAAGUCCCGCAACGAGCGCAACCCUUAUCCUUUGUUGCCAGCGGUCCGGCCGGGAACUCAAAGGAGACUGCCAGUGAUAAACUGGAGGAAGGUGGGGAUGACGUCAAGUCAUCGUGGCCCUUACGACCAGGGCUACACACGUGCUACAAUGGCGCAUACAAAGAGAAGCGACCUCGCGAGAGCAAGCGGACCUCAUAAAGUGCGUCGUAGUCCGGAUUGGAGUCUGCAACUCGACUCCAUGAAGUCGGAAUCGCUAGUAAUCGUGGAUCAGAAUGCCACGGUGAAUACGUUCCCGGGCCUUGUACACACCGCCCGUCACACCAUGGGAGUGGGUUGCAAAAGAAGUAGGUAGCUUAACCUUCGGGAGGGCGCUUACCACUUUGUGAUUCAUGACUGGGGUGAAGUCGGAACAAGGUAACCGUAGGGGAACCUGCGGUUG